rnacentral:rRNA from 1 species
CUACGGGGGGCUCCAGUGGGGAAUAUUGCACAAUGGGCGCAAGCCUGAUGCAGCCAUGCCGCGUGUAUGAAGAAGGCCUUCGGGUUGUAAAGUACUUUCAGCGGGGAGGAAGGGAGUAAAGUUAAUACCUUUGCUCAUUGACGUUACCCGCAGAAGAAGCACCGGCAACUCCGUGCCAGCAGCCGCGGUAAUACGGAGGGUGCAAGCGUUAAUCGGAAUUACUGGGCGUAAAGCGCACGCAGGCGGUUUGUUAAGUCAGAUGUGAAAUCCCCGGGCUCAACCUGGGAACUGCAUCUGAUACUGGCAGGCUUGAGUCUCGUAGAGGGGGGUAGAAUUCCAGGUGUAGCGGUGAAAUGCGUAGAGAUCUGGAGGAAUACCGGUGGCGAAGGCGGCCCCCUGGACGAAGACUGACGCUCAGGUGCGAAAGCGUGGGGAGCAAACAGGAUUAGAUACCCCGGUAGUC